rnacentral:rRNA from 1 species
GAGUUUGAUCAUGGCUCAGAUUGAACGCUGGCGGCAGGCCUAACACAUGCAAGUCCGAGCGGAUGAAGGGAGCUUGCUCCUGGAUUCAGCGGCGGACGGGUGAGUAAUGCCUAGGAAUCUGCCUGGUAGUGGGGGGAUAACGUCCGGAAACGGGCGCUAAUACCGCAUACCGUCCUGAGGGAGAAAGUGGGGGAUCUUCGGACCUCACGCUAUCAGACGAG